AGAGUUUGAUCAUGGCUCAGAUUGAACGCUGGCGGCAUGCCUUACACAUGCAAGUCGAGCGGCAGCGCGGACUUCGGUCUGGCGGCGAGUGGCGAACGGGUGAGUAAUACAUCGGAACGUACCCUGUUGUGGGGGAUAACUAGUCGAAAGAUUAGCUAAUACCGCAUACGACCUGAGGGUGAAAGUGGGGGACCGCAAGGCCUCGCGCAGCAGGAGCGGCCGAUGUCUGAUUAGCUAGUUGGUGGGGUAAAGGCCCACCAAGGCGACGAUCAGUAGCUGGUCUGAGAGGACGAUCAGCCACACUGGGACUGAGACACGGCCCAGACUCCUACGGGACGCAGCAG
rnacentral:rRNA from 1 species